CGACAGGGGUGUGGCAAGCACUGAGCAGAAAAGGAUUGCUGCAUAGCGCCGAGGUCAAAAGGCGUGAAGGGGCAAUAACCAGCCAGAAAAUAGUCUGGAAGCAAAAUGAGAUUUCAAUGAAAUAGAGAACAAACAGUUAUGGUUGGAUUAUGAUAACAGGUUAACCCCUUUGGUCUUCAAUACACUGGCAAGGGACUUGCAUAAGGCUGUAAGCAGCAGAGCAGUACUGAACUUCCGCCCUGUAAUUAUUGGUGCCGCCAUGUUGGAACAUAGGUUACAUUGUAGGUAUCUGAAGGUGUGUAACUGCACAUGUGCAAACACAUCAGCUCUGGAAUGCAAUAAAAAGAGCCUGCUUCAACUUUAGCAUCGACUGGGAAAAUAGCGAAUAAUGAAGACCGGCUAUAUAGACAUCCCAGCUCUCACACACAAAAAAGGAAGCAUUAUUGGUCACAAAAGCGGUGAAUUUGAUCUUGCAGGGUCUGGAAAUGUUGGAUGUAUCAGCUUGGGAUUGGCUAAGAGUGCACCCGCAAGAGAGAACUACACCCAAAUAUCCUAGGCUGUUUAUACAGUAAAAAUGGAAGACCUGCCUAGUACUGGGAAAGGUGGCCGAAAUGCGAGGGAACCCAAAAGCUAAGAUAACCAAGAAGAAACUGCAGAUUUUUCAGCAAGGUCUAACAGCUGUCUUCAAAAUUAGCCGAACUGUUUAGCAAAACUAAUAGCUGGAAAGUAUGAAGGCCGUCCAUUCACAAGCUCAUAUUUGUCUGCCUGCACUGAAACUCUAUCUGCACCUUGGCUGACAUUUCAACUUUUUUUCUUAUACAGGUGGUGAAUAGUAGCACAGUGCAGAGAUUCUAAUAUUUUCCUAUUCCCAGAAAGGAUCACCUGAGUAGAACUUUACAUUAAUACAUAAAAAAAAAAACAACAACAAAAAACAGAUAUAUAGACACGGCCAUUUCUCACCACUAAUCGGUCAUGUGUGAUGAGUGUUAGCCAUAAAAAUCUUUAUUUAAAACAAAGAACUCAACAAAUGUUUCAAAAUCUAUUAGCCCAAACAUGCGUUUUUUUUAUUUUAGUAUUUGAGGUAUGGGCAACCCCAGAGUUGCAAGAAUCACAACAGUGAUAACACCCUAUUAAUUGGCAAAAAACAAAUGCAGCCGUGGCUUAGCCAAACAGAGGAAAUCUAGGGGUUAAAUAAACAGUAUGUACCUCUGAAUUAACCCCUUGAUUGCCUGUAAAGACAUGAAGCAGCAAUUAAAACACUUACUUCCGACACAUGUAUGGUAAGCACCCCUUUGCAGGGACAGGAGUUGAAGGGAGAAGGAAAGAAGGGGAGAUGGUAAUUCUAGUGCACACCAAAAAAGAGAAAAGAGCAGUUAUGCUUCCACUUCUACCCCAAACAAUAAUGGUCAGUUUCCUUAUGUGCCACGAUGCCCUAUUUGUAAAGCGCUGGCCUAACGCAUAAAAAGCCAGAGGAGUUGCAUUAGAGGUGACCAUAAAUUACUUAUUUCACACACCACAAGCUCUCCGAUAAGAACCUAUAAAUCUAGUCAAAAAAGACACCUCUUCCUAUUAAUAAAAAUGUGUAAGAGCUAAAAAUUACUUCUCCUAAAAUAGGAUAUUUGGAGUACAGAACCAAGUACAAAAAUAUAGGUACACAUCUUUGAAAGAAAUGUUCUUCCAGAAACAAAAAGGGAAAAAUGCACACAAUUUGUAACAAAAAACUUCCUCGAGGCCUGCUUGAUUAUAUCUGGUAGUUUUUUUUGUUAUUUUUUUUAAAGGAACACUAAAUAUUUAGUAUGUGGUAAAGCAGCAGAACAAGAACGGACUUAUCUUUAUACAGCAGCUGACAAACCCCAAAGGAACAAUGGCUCCUAACAAUGUAACCACUGCUCCAUUUAUUAUUCCAAGUAUAUCCGUGUGAUCACUCUUCUAACAGAUACAAAUACAGAGGGUCAGGCACUCUUAUUACAGUACAAACCGUUUCACUCUGAAACAGGUUAAUAAAUGUCCUCCCAAACCUAAACUAAAAUUAAGAGAAGUUGCUCAGAAUAGACGCACCGCGCCAAGAAAGCAGCUUUCCUGAGAUCUGAUUUAUCUUGCACAUUUUGUGACACUUUUACACAAUGGAAAUACUACGAAGCCCUGAAAAACAGUAGUAGCUGCCAGUUUCCUGACCUGGAUAGUGUUCCCUUCACAUGCUGACAUCUCAGGAAAGCAGCACCCAUUCUUGGUGUCCCAAUUUAACAGCACACUGGCCUUGUGAGUGAAUAUAAACUUGGGGAGUUCCUGUUUCCUCUAAAGUGAUGUCCUUUUAGCUUGGUCUACAUCCAGCAGGGCACUGUGCUCUUUAAAUAAGGCAGAUUAACAUCCCAGCUGUGCAGCUGAAGUAAUGGCAGAUUUUGACUUGUACUGUUCAAAAUAUCCAGUGCACAAAUUGUAGUUCAAACUCUGAUUUGCCUUUUAAGCAAUAUUUGUCUAAACAUAUGGUAGUAAAGGCACUUUUAUAUGUAUGAGGGGAAAAAAAUAGGUGCCAUAUAGAGGUUAUGUAAUUAAAGAUCUGGCUCACUUAAAGGGACAGUUCACCCAAAAACUUUCUCCCCUUAAAAUUAUUCCCAAUGUUCCUUUUUACCUGCUAGAGUGUAUUAAAUUGGUUUCAAGUAGCUCCUUUACUCAUAUUUCAGCAUUUGAAAUAGCUGAUUUAGCUUGUGGUUUCCCAACCUAUACUGAAAGUUUUGAUACUGGCGUAUACGCUAUUGACAAGCAUAAGUAAACACAGCCAGCAGAAGAGAUUACUCUCCCAGUGGGGGGCAUGAUAGUUAAGUAAUAAAAUGGUAAUUUUCCAUUGUUCUCUCUAUGUAUUGAGCUUUGGUGUUCCAGACAAAUAUAAGAUAAGGAAGCAAGUCUGUGUACAUAAAAGUGAUAACAUAAUGAGAUCUGAUAUUACCUGAAGCUCAACCCAUUGUAAUAGGCUGUGGUUUCAAAGCACAAAACCAGCUACUUCAGAUACACAAAAACCCGAAAAUGCAAUUUCUCAAAUAUUUUAUACUCUGCAGUUGGUAUAACAAGUAAUUUAAAAUACAUUAAUGGAAAAACAAUUUUACAGUGUACUGUCCCUUUAAGGACAAUGCGAAUAUAUUACUCUAGAUUUGUUUUCACCUGGUGAAAUGAAUAACUAUUAGCACAAUUACAAUAUCUUAUGCACUAAUUUAGCCAUUUAAUCUUUACAAGUAUCUUAAAUUCUAAGGGCAAUUAGUUUAUUUAAAAGAAAUAAAAAUCUGUCUCAAAAGAUGGCCAAAUGUAUCUUUAAAAGUUAUCAAAGUCUUUGACCUGUAAAUGUUUAGUCUGAUACUUCUUAGCAAAAUGGCUAAACAUUUAGGAAUUAAUCUUACUAUGAAUGUUUUGUACGGUUCGUACAUCUAAAAUUGUGCAUUUGUGUUUUUUUCUUAUAAUUAUUAAUGAGAAUUACAAAAGGGAAAAUGCACCAUAAUGAACUGCAAAAAGUGAUAUUCUAUCUUCUCCUUUCCCACAGAUAUGGGGAAUUGUUACAUUGUUCGGGAAAUCAAAUAUAUUUGUUACAAGUGAAGCUUAAUACUGCUAGUGGUAAAGGACAUUUUACAGUAAACUAAAACUAGAGCUGGAAAGAACAUUUGAAAUAAAAUAUUAAAAGUUUCUUCCAAAUAUUAUGCUGUAGCCAAGACAGACGUUUGUGUUAGAGUAAAAUAUUCCUUUAAAUAAGAAAUGUUUCUGCUUUCUACACACUUGUCUAUUUUAGGAAUAGAACUCGGUGUACUUGCAUCUGCUGGCUGCUAGGGAACAUUAUGCAAGCUUACCAACACUGCACUGGUCGAUACCCACGGAAAUUACACUAUUACCUGCUUCCUAUCAUAUCAGCACAACAGAUUAAAGGGCCACCAAGUCUAAACAUGGCCCUUUUAAAAUGUAUUUUAACUUAUUUGGUUGUUCUGCAUAAAAUUAAAGGGACGUUUUACACAAGAUUUUUUUGUAACAAUGUAUAGUUUUGCUUAUUUUUUUUAAAUACCAUUAUGCUGAUUUUCAGACUCCUAACCAAGCCCCACAGUGUCAGAUGUAUACAGGUGUUUAGAGACUCCUGCUGGCUCUGUUAUCUGUAUUUUCAUAAGCAGGGAAGGAAGAAGGGUCUGCUGUUCUUGUUUUUCCAGCCCAUUUCACUGGGUGUCCCAGCCUAACAUCAUCAGUGCUAAACUGGAAGCUUUUUGUAACAAUGUAUAGUUUUGCUUAUCUUUAUUUUUUUUAAAUACCAUUAUGCUGAUUUUCAGACUCCUAACCAAGCCCCACAGUGUCAGAUGUAUACAGGUGUUUAGAGACUCCUGCUGGCUCUGUUAUCUGUAUUUUCAUAAGCAGGGAAGGAAGAAGGGUCUGCUGUUCUUGUUUUUACAGCCCAUUUCACUGGGUGUCCCAGCCUAACAUCAUCAGUGCUAAACGGGGAGCUUCUAAGUACGUUUUUAAAAGGUUUUAUACUGGAUUUUUAGAUCAAUAUCUGUACAUAUUCUUUAUACUAGUGCCUAUUAAAUGUUGUUAUAUAGAAAUUGGUGUAUACUGCCCCUUUAACUAUUGUUGAUCUACUAAUGGUCAACUUUAGCAGCAGUUAGCAUGCAAGUAUUACAGUACUGUCUGGAAAAUAGCUUGAGAUUCUGCCCCAGAAAAUGUUACUAGUAAGUACUAUAAGAUACGUUUAACAUAGGAACCGAGUCCAACUAAAACCCAUUAGAUUAUAUAGAAACUGUCUUCUGUUGCAUUUAUGAAUAAUUUUAAAUGUAUUAAAGCUUUUUUCCCAUAAAGAUAUUCCUGCCCUAAAUAAAACAUUCUUGGUUUUAUGCUA